rnacentral:rRNA from 1 species
CCUACGGGCGGCUGCAGUGAGGAAUCUUGGUCAAUGGACGCAAGUCUGAACCAGCCAUGUCGCGUGAAGGAGGACGGCCCUAAGGGUUGUAAACUUCUUUUGCAGCGGAAUAAAGUUUGCCACGAGUUGGCGAUUUGCAAGUACGCUGCGAAUAAGGAUCGGCUAACUCCGUGCCAGCAGCCGCGGUAAUACGGAGGAUCCGGGCGUUAUCCGGAUUUAUUGGGUUUAAAGGGUGCGCAGGCGGGGAUUUAGGUCGGCGGUGAAAUUUCGGGGCUCAACCUCGAUAGUGCCGUUGAAACCGUUUCUCUUGAGUGCGGAUGAGGUAGGCGGAAUUUGUGGUGUAGCGGUGAAAUGCGUAGAUAUCACAAGGAACACCGAUUGCGGAGGCAGCUUACUAAACCGUUACUGACGCUCAUGCACGAAGGCGUGGGGAUCAAACAGGAUUAGAUACCCCGGUAGUC